rnacentral:rRNA from 2 species
UGCAGUCGAGCGGACCGACGGGAGCUUGCUCCCUUAGGUCAGCGGCGGACGGGUGAGUAACACGUGGGUAACCUGCCUGUAAGACUGGGAUAACUCCGGGAAACCGGGGCUAAUACCGGAUGCUUGAUUGAACCGCAUGGUUCAAUCAUAAAAGGCGGCUUCGGCUGCCGUUUACAGAUGGACCCGCGGCGCAUUAGCUAGUUGGUGAGGUAACGGCUCACCAAGGCGACGAUGCGUAGCCGACCUGAGAGGGUGAUCGGCCACACUGGGACUGAGACACGGCCCAGACUCCUACGGGAGGCAGCAGUAGGGAAUCUUCCGCAAUGGACGAAAGUCUGACGGAGCAACGCCGCGUGAGUGAUGAAGGUUUUCGGAUCGUAAAGCUCUGUUGUUAGGGAAGAACAAGUACCGUUCGAAUAGGGCGGUACCUUGACGGUACCUAACCAGAAAGCCACGGCUAACUACGUGCCAGCAGCCGCGGUAAUACGUAGGUGGCAAGCGUUGUCCGGAAUUAUUGGGCGUAAAGCGCGCGCAGGCGGUUUCUUAAGUCUGAUGUGAAAGCCCCCGGCUCAACCGGGGAGGGUCAUUGGAAACUGGGGAACUUGAGUGCAGAAGAGGAGAGUGGAAUUCCACGUGUAGCGGUGAAAUGCGUAGAGAUGU